rnacentral:rRNA from 1 species
AACGCUAGCUACAGGCUUAACACAUGCAAGUCGAGGGGUAGCACAGAGGAAGCUUGCUUCUUUGGGUGACGACCGGCGCACGGGUGAGUAACGCGUAUCCGACCUACCCAUAACACGGGCACAGCCGCUCGAAAGAGUGAUUGAUUCCCGAUAUGUCUUUAGAGUAGAUCUAAUGAUGAAAGAUUUAUCGGUUAUGGAUGGGGAUGCGUAAGAUUAGGUAGUAGGCGGGGUAACGGCCCACCUAGCCGACGAUCUUUAGGGGUUCUGAGAGGAAGGCCCCCCACACUGGUACUGAGACACGGACCAGACUCCUACGGGAGGCAGCAGUGAGGAAUAUUGGUCAAUGGGCGGAAGCCUGAACCAGCCAAGUAGCGUGAAGGAUUACAGCCCUACGGGUUUUAAACUUCUUUUAUAUAAGAGUAAUGUGCACUACGUGUAGUGUAUUGCAAGUAUUAUAUGAAUAAGCAUCGGCUAACUCCGUGCCAGCAGCCGCGGUAAUACGGAGGAUGCGAGCGUUAUCCGGAUUUAUUGGGUUUAAAGGGAGCGUAGGCGGGAUAUUAAGUCAGUCGUCAAAGCCUGUGGCUCAACCACAGCCCGCGAUUGAUACUGGUAACCUUGAGUGCGGAUGAGGUGGAUGGAAUUCGUGGUGUAGCGGUGAAAUGCUUAGAUAUCACGAAGAACUCCGAUUG